rnacentral:rRNA from 1 species
GUCCUUAGUUACCUAGCACGUUAUGGUGGGCGACUCUAAGGAGACUGCCGGUGACAAACCGGACGGAAGGUGGGGAGUGACGUCAAGUCAUCAUGGCCCUUACGGCCUGGGCUACACACGUGCUACAAUGGUCGGUACAAAGGGUUGCCAAGCCGCGAGGUGGAGCUAAUCCCAUAAAACCGAUCGUAGUCCGGAUCGCAGUCUGCAACUCGACUGCGUGAAGUCGGAAUCGCUAGUAAUCGUGAAUCAGAAUGUCACGGUGAAUACGUUCCCGGGCCUU